CAGUCUUGCAGUUCUGGUUGCGAUGCUGUUUCUCGCCUUCGCAUGGCUUGGCCUUGUCAUCCCUUCAACCAUGGUGCUGUCGCUGGAAGAUCAUGGCCCGAUCGCCGGUAUGGCGUCGGCGCUGGGCGGUACGUUGCAGAUGAUCANUGAUUGUUGUCGCCAGCGCCUUCUUCAACGGAACGGCGCUGCCAAUGGUGACCACGAUUGC
rnacentral:misc_RNA from 1 species